CAGGAUGAGCGUUAUGAGGCGGGGGCUUGGGGUGGGGCCAGGAUGAGCGUCAUGAGGGCGAGGCCUGGGGUAGGGCCAGGAUAAGCGUCGUUGGGGCAGGUCCUGGGGAGAGUUCAGGUUGGCGGGUCCUGGGGCGGGGCCAGGACAGGGCGAUCCUGGAAGCGGGGCUUCGGAAGCGUCCAGGUUGGAGGCGUCCUGGAGGCGGGGCCUUGCGUGGGGGCAGGAUAAGAGUCCUGGAGGCGGGCGUUAGGGUGGGGGUAAACGAUGAUUGGGUUCAGGAGGCGAGAGUCGGAGCAGAGCCCAGGAGACAGGUCUUAGGGCGGGGCUAAGGCCAGACCCAGAGAAGGGCUCAGGAGGCGGGGCCAGGGCGGGGCGUUGACUAUGUCGUAGCACGUUGCCAGGCACUGCUCGAACUCUGGGAGGCGGAUCUUAGGACAGGCCGACGUGGGGAGGGGCCCAGGGUCCGGGAGGCGGGGCCGAGUCUAGGCUGCGGGCUGCGCUCAGGAGGCGGGCCCUGGGAGGCGGAGCUUAGGGAGGGUCCGGUGUUGGCAGGGACCAAGGGACUGGGAGGCGGAUCGGGGCUGGGCUCAGGGGCCGAGAGGGAGCUGGGCUUGGGGCGGGGCCGAGACGGAGCGAGGGGUCCAGGGUGUGAGAAACGGGGAGGGGUUUGAGGAGGGGAUUGGAGUGUGGCUCAAGUUCGGGAGGCGUUACCUGCGGAGGGUUUGAGGCAGGCCCAGGAGCGAGCCCACGGUCUGCCGACGCGGGGCCAGCGGCGGGCCCCAGGAUCCGGAGCUUCGGGCGGGGCCGAGUCCAGCUGUUGUUCCCCACCAGAACCAAAUGAGCGCAAGAUCUGACAAAGAAAAAAAAAGGUUCAUCUUUUAUUCCGCCAAACACUUUCAUCUAAAUCAAGAGGGUGGGAUGUGGUUAUUGCUGUGUUUUUAGACAGAAUCAACAGUUUCUGGGUCUGAGAUAUUGCAUACACCCUCUCAGUCCCUGUAUCCUCAGAUGGAGUCACCUGAGAAUCCACAGCAAGUCCUAACCGGGGAUGGGUCUGGGUGGUUAAGGAAGGUUGGCCUCAGAACUGGGCCAGGGGCACUGCUUUGCUUUUGCUGUUUUGAUCAGCUCUCUGCCCGCAGGAGACAAGGAAAACCAAUGGGAACAGCCCAGUAAAGGCGCCAUUCCCCAUUUUACAGCUGGGGAAACUGAGUUACAGAGCUUGUCUACACUGAGUCAACAGGAGCAAAUGCUAGAUCAGGUAAUUGAACCCAAGCA
rnacentral:lncRNA from 1 species